rnacentral:misc_RNA from 1 species
GUCAAAGGAGACAAACGCCCAAUGGAGGUUGCCUGCAUACCCGAGAGAAUUCUCGAUGACGCCGCUUUCAAUUCUGAGAAUGAAUUUGAUUCCUCCGUGGUAGAAAUCUAACGGCUCAAGCCUGAACCACGAACUGAUGCCCGGGCGAUUAUCGUCCCCGGGGUACGUGUCGUCUCCGAGCCGGUGAAUGACGAGCUUGCUGUAGCGAAACUUGUCGAACGGUCGCUCGCGGCCGUCACCGCGGCGAGCCCGCUCGCGUUGGAUUUCGUCCCAUGGCCUGACAAGCGCCUUCUGCAGAUCGUCUCGAAGCUUAAGAUCCCGCUUCAGUAGACGCUCUGCAUUCGACGGCAGUGUGCUCGCCUUCGCGGCUUUCCCGACCUGAUGGUGUGCGUUCUGCUCUGCAGCAU